rnacentral:rRNA from 1 species
UACGAGAGGCCCAAACGUUAUUCGGAUUUACUGGGCUUAAAGAGUCCGUAGGCGGCGCAGUAAGUGGGGUGUGAAAGCCCUCGGCUUAACCGAGGAAUUGCGCUCCAAACUACUGUGCUUGAGGAAUCUAGAGGUGAGCGGAACUGAUGGUGGAGCGGUGAAAUGCGUUGAUAUCAUCAGGAACACCGGAGGCGAAGGCGGCUCACUGGGGAUUUUCUGACGCUGAGGGACGAAAGCCAGGGGAGCGAACGGG